rnacentral:lncRNA from 1 species
CGGGGAAGGCUUUGAUGCCCCAGUCGUCCUGGUCCGACGGCGCAUAAAUCUGCCGAAGGCGAAAAACCAUCAUUGUAGUCAGUUUUAGACUAAUUUCAGAAUUCAUACAAGUACAGUACUAUGAACAAGCCUGCAACUCUGAUGCUCACCAUAUGUUUGUACCAUGGUCUCCCCAUGAGCCUUUCUCGGUUGGUAAGUCUCGCUCCAUCAUCAUCUAUUGGUCAUUGAUCUUUCUGACUUUCGGUGUGCGUUCUCUCAUGUUAUAGCAAAUGGCCUUCUAUUAAUUAGAUUGAUGUAUAUUAAUCCUUCAACUAUCCAAGGUAUGAGUAGUAAUUAGAUCGAUACAUAUUAAUCCUUCAACUUCUGAAGUUGGGAUCUCUACUCUCAUGCCAAUCCUUAGUCGAACUGAAUCCAUCUAUCAGUGCUCUCACAUACACAAUUUUCUUCUUGCACUAUCCAGCGUCCAGCAGGGAGCAGGCUAUAGUACAGACGUACAAGUUUAAGCAAGUUAGUCUGACCACUUGUCUUUCUAUUAAUUUAUUAGAUGUAAUAAAUUUAGAGACUUGUUUGCAGUCAAUUCUAGAUUGUUCAGACAAGAUAAUUUGCAAGGUAAUACUUAAAUGAUUGCUUAGGCCACAUUCACUUAAAGGGAAUUCUUCUUGCAGGCUACACAUGAGGACAUCUAUGUUUGGCACAGCAAGUAGAGAUUGAUGACUCUGGUUGCUUUUGAUGAAGCCGUACCCUUGCUCAGCUGCUGUAACAGAAGAAAAAUGUGAUGCAUGGUCAGCUGUAGAUGUUGAAUGAUGGCAAGGAAAUCCUUCCCCAAGCAUUGUGCUUUAAGCAGCUCAUCAGGGUUAAGGGUUAAUUGGACCCUGAGAAAUUCACCAUGCGAAUUAAUAGGAAGACCCAUAUAGCCGCCACUGUACAGGUUGGUGCAUGCAGAUACACGGAGUGUAGCUUGUGCAUUUGUCCCAUGGCCAGAAAUCGCUUCCAGAGUUGGGACAGAUUUUUGUAGAUGAUGUCGGUCCAGCAAACAUACACAUUCUAGCAAGUACUC